rnacentral:lncRNA from 1 species
ACAUGAGGAGUGAAACUAUCACAUGAGUUAAAAAUGUAUGGAAUACCUCUGUGACCUUCAGGUGCAGGUGGGGCUGGUUAAGGUCUACAAAACAUAACCCUCAGGGCGACUUGCUGGUGGGUUUGCCUACAUCAGAGUUAAAGAUACCGGUCCAUGGAAAGUGGACUCCAGGUUAGGAGCAAAGGUCAGGCUGCGGUGUGAUGUUUACAACAGGGACAUUGGUGCAGGGCUGCUCUCCAGAGUACAGAACUCAGACACAAAUUGGGCCAGUGUGUGGAACACAACGGGCAGUGCAGAGAAGGAAAACCUGCAAAGCUAACGGGGCACCUGUAAGUAACAGGAAGAUGUGGAACUCAAGAUUCGUGCUCUUGUCAGAAUCACCGAACUGGAGGCACAUACUGCAACGAGCUACGCGGACAGAUUUGCAAGGCAUAUUGUUGGAUGAAAAAAGUAAGAAACAGGGGCUGGAGAGCACAACAAAACAUACUUACAGCGGAAGCCAUGCUUGCACACAAAACAAGAGCUCCGCCUGUUUCAACGCACAUCCAAGAGUGUAGAUGAAGUCCUCCAGUGAGUGCUUUGGGGGCACCGACACACCAAGCUGGCCCCUCCUUCCACCCGCACACCGGCCCUCUCCCCAGGGAAUGGACUUCUCCACCCUCGCCUCUCCGUUCUCACCGAAGCACCAGUAUUAGUGGAUGUGAAUGGCUUUCGCGCCGACGCAGCCCACCAGACAAGAUGGGCAGCAGGAGCACACCCCCCAUCACCCUUCUUCAAGACGCCCCAUAAAAUACCAGCUGCAAUCGGAGCACCUCUUUCUCUUGAGAGUCCACACGUAUUUCUUUGUUUACUUUAGAUUCUGCCUAAUAAAUCCCUUUAUGUCUCUUCCUGAUCCAUCUAGAAAAGUCUCUUUCUUUUCUGUUUUUGUUUUUUUUUUAAAAAAAAAAACAGGGUCUCCCUAGGUAGCCCAGGCUGGUAUGGACCUCACAGUGAUCCUCCUGCCUCAGCCUCGCCAGUGCUGGG